GGGGGCAUAGCUCAGCUGGUUAGAGCGCCUGCCUUACAAGCAGGAUGUCCGCGGUUCGAAUCCGUGUGCCCCCACCA
rnacentral:tRNA from 1 species